rnacentral:rRNA from 1 species
UACGAAGGGGGCUAGCGUUGUUCGGAAUCACUGGGCGUAAAGCGCACGUAGGCGGAUCUUUAAGUCAGGGGUGAAAUCCCGAGGCUCAACCUCGGAACUGCCUUUGAUACUGGGGAUCUCGAGUCCGGGAGAGGUGAGUGGAACUGCGAGUGUAGAGGUGAAAUUCGUAGAUAUUCGCAAGAACACCAGUGGCGAAGGCGGCCAACUGGUCCGGUACUGACGCUGAGGUGCGAAAGCGUGGGGAGCAAACAGG